AACGAACGCUGGCGGCAGGCUUAACACAUGCAAGUCGAACGCCCCGCAAGGGGAGUGGCAGACGGGUGAGUAACGCGUGGGAACAUACCCUUUCCUGCGGAAUAGCUCUGGGAAACUGGAAUUAAUACCGCAUACGCCCUACGGGGGAAAGACUUAUCGGGGAAGGAUUGGCCCGCGUUGGAUUAGCUAGUUGGUGGGGUAAAGGCCUACCAAGGCGACGAUCCAUAGCUGGUCUGAGAGGAUGAUCAGCCACAUUGGGACUGAGACACGGCCCAAACUCCUACGGGAGGCAGCAGUGGGGAAUAUUGGACAAUGGGCGCAAGCCUGAUCCAGCCAUGCCGCGUGAGUGAUGAAGGCCUUAGGGUUGUAAAGCUCUUUCACCGAUGAAGAUAAUGACGGUAGUCGGAGAAGAAGCCCCGGCUAACUUCGUGCCAGCCGCCGCGGUAACAC
rnacentral:rRNA from 1 species